GAUGAACGCUGGCGGCGUGCCUAAUACAUGCAAGUCGAGCGAACGGACGAGAAGCUCGCUUCUCUGAUGUUAGCGGCGGACGGGUGAGUAACACGUGGAUAACUUACCUAUAAGACUGGGAUAACUUCGGGAAACCGGAGCUAAUACCGGAUAAUAUUUUGAACCGCAUGGUUCAAAAGUGAAAGACGGUCUUGCUGUCACUUAUAGAUGGAUCCGCGCUGCAUUAGCUAGUUGGUAAGGUAACGGCUUACCAAGGCAACGAUGCAUAGCCGACCUGAGAGGGUGAUCGGCCACACUGGAACUGAGACACGGUCCAGACUCCUACGGGAGGCAGAAGUAGGGAAUCUUCCGCAAUGGGCGAAGGCCUGACGGAGCAACGCCGCGUGAGUGAUGAAGGUCUUCGGAUCGUAAAACUCUGUUAUUAGGGAAGAACAUAUGUGUAAGUAACUGUGCACAUCUUGACGGUACCUAAUCAGAAAGCCACGGCUAACUACGUG
rnacentral:rRNA from 1 species